rnacentral:rRNA from 1 species
UACGUAGGGUGCGAGCGUUGUCCGGAAUUAUUGGGCGUAAAGAGCUCGUAGGCGGCCUGUCGCGUCGGAUGUGAAAGCCCGGGGCUCAACCCCGGGUCUGCAUUCGAUACGGGCAGGCUAGAGUGUGGUAGGGGAGAUCGGAAUUCCUGGUGUAGCGGUGAAAUGCGCAGAUAUCAGGAGGAACACCGGUGGCGAAGGCGGAUCUCUGGGCCAUUACUGACGCUGAGGAGCGAAAGCGUGGGGAGCGAACAGG